AUUGAACGCUGGCGGCAGGCCUAACACAUGCAAGUCGAGCGGAUGAGUGGAGCUUGCUCCAUGAUUCAGCGGCGGACGGGUGAGUAAUGCCUAGGAAUCUGCCUGGUAGUGGGGGACAACGUUUCGAAAGGAACGCUAAUACCGCAUACGUCCUACGGGAGAAAGCAGGGGACCUUCGGGCCUUGCGCUAUCAGAUGAGCCUAGGUCGGAUUAGCUAGUAGGUGAGGUAAUGGCUCACCUAGGCGACGAUCCGUAACUGGUCUGAGAGGGUGGUCCGGCACACUGGAACUGAGACACGGUCCAGACUCCUAUGGGAGGCAGCAGUGGGGAAUAUUGGACAAUGGGCGAAAGCCUGAUCCAGCCAUGCCGCGUGUGUGAAGAAGGUCUUCGGAUUGUAAAGCACUUUAAGUUGGGAGGAAGGGCAGUAAGUUAAUACCUUGCUGUUUUGACGUUACCAACAGAAUAAGCACCGGCUAACUUCGUGCCAGCCGCCGCGGUAA
rnacentral:rRNA from 1 species